rnacentral:tRNA from 1 species
GAUGGUAGUUCUCAGUGAUAGAGUGUGUGCUUAGCAUGCAUGAGGUCCUGGAUUCAAUUCCCAGUACCUCCA